AAUGGAGUGGUUCAACUUGGGACAAUGGCUUCAGUCAUCAGAACGUCGGCGUUGUCUUCGGACGUUGGGUUUGGCCACCCCAAAUCCAUUGGAUGUUGAGUUUCGCCACCCAGAAUGCCGAGGUUGGGCGUUGGGCGUUGGGUUUGGCCACCCUUUAUGGAGAAGUUCGACUUUGAAUGAUGGGUCUGGCCACCCAGAAUGGCGAAAUUCAACUUGGGACAUUGGUUUGGUCAUGAGGACGUCGGCGUUGUCUUCGGACGUUGGGUUUGGCCACCCCAAAUCUCUUGGAUGUUGCGUUUGGCCACCCCAAAAUGCCAACGUUGGGCGUUGGGCGUUGGGUUUGGGCACCCAGAACGGCGACGUUCAACUUG
ensembl:lncRNA